UUUGACCUCGGAUCAGGUAGGGAUACCCGCUGAACUUAAGCAUAUCAAUAAGCGGAGGAAAAGAA
rnacentral:rRNA from 1 species